AGGGUAAGUAAGUAUACUAAAGAAGCUUCUAACUUUUUUUUAAGCGGUUAAACUCCGUUUUUACCCUU
rnacentral:tRNA from 1 species